rnacentral:sRNA from 1 species
UUUUGUUAGUUUUUUUUUGUGUUGUU